CCGGCGCACGGGUGAGUAACACGUAUCCAACCUGCCGUCUACUCUUGGCCAGCCUUCUGAAAGGAAGAUUAAUCCAGGAUGGCAUCAUGAGUUCACAUGUCCGCAUGAUUAAAGGUAUUUUCCGGUAGACGGUGGGGAUGCGUUCCAUUAGAUAGUAGGCGGGGUAACGGCCCACCUAGUCAACGAUGGAUAGGGGUUCUGAGAGGAAGGUCCCCCACAUUGGAACUGAGACACGGUCCAA
rnacentral:rRNA from 1 species